GUCUUUUCCUGAAGGGAUCCGAAAAAUUCCAACUCCAGCACUAUUUCGACAUGUACCACAGCCGAUAUGGAGCAAUUCGCUCCCGGCAUCGCGGAAAAUUCAAUGAAAUUUAAUGUUUUUAGGCUCUGUUUGGCUUAAACUAUUAAACUAUCGUAUAUGUAAACACCUCGAAGCAUGCACUAUAAGUUCCACGUGACCGAGAACAAUAAGUUAUUUUGUCACGUGAUCCGGCCUUCCAAACCCUCAUUAUAUUAACUAUG